rnacentral:lncRNA from 1 species
CGGAGAGGGAAGGUCUAGAUGGUCCUAGGGGGAUAACAGGGCCUGGGCUGUGCCCAUCUUAUAGAUGGGAAUAGUGAGUCCUGGGAACUUAGCUAAGGCACAGGUAAGCUUCUCUAGACACUAUGCAGUGAAUCUGACGAAAGCGCCAGGGUUCCGGCUUCCACUUCCUUGUUCAGUGUCUUUAUUCGGGAUGUCUCACCUGUGCUGUCCAAGAAGGGCGUUGCAAACAGGUGUCUCAGCCAUGAAUCUAGGGGUGAGAAAAGAAACCUCCCCUCACCUACAAGGUCAAAGCGCAGGUAUGGGUCCUGGCAGGACCCAUCAGCAGAAUCUGGCUGGAAAACUCUCACGCUAAAAACAGCCAGCUGUGAUAUGAUGAGCAGCCCUAUGGAGAGGGUGUGUGGGAAGAACCUGAAGUCUCCAGCCAGCAGCCACAUGAAUACAUCAUCUUGGAAGCAGAUCCUCCAGCCCCAGUCCAGCCUUCAGAUGACUGCAGCCCUGGUCAACAUCUCAACUGCAGUCUCAUGAGAGACUCCAGACCAGAACCACCCUGCUGAGCCUCUUUUGGAUUCUUGACCCUCAGAAACCCUGUGAGAUCAUAAAUGCCAGUCGUUUUAAGCUGCUAAGUUUUGGGGUCAUUUGUUAGCCAGCAAGAUAACAAAUACAGAUCUGCAUGAAACAUACAAGCAGAAGGAAGUAGGCAGUCAGGUCUACAAGUCUGAAAUUCAGGGAAGCAGUUCAGGCUGAAAUAUAAAUUUGAGAGUUAUUAACAUAUAGGUGAUAUUAAAAGCCAUCAGGAGCAAAGGUUUCUCUUUUUAUGGAAGCUUUCUCCACUUCCCUACUCCCUCUUCUGCGCUCUGAUGUUGGCUUGCCUUUGCUGUGAGGUUGCACGGCGAUGGCUUUGCUGUGCGCCCAUCUGACCAUUAGGUUCAGACAUAACUGAGUCUUCUUUGGAUCUUCUUCUAAACUUGGUACAAACUGGAAGUGCUUAAUAAAUGCUUUUGGGAUGCUAUGAAUGCACAGGGGAGCUUAGAGGGUGAAGCGGACACUGUAAGUGUUAUGACUCUAUCCCUUUUUGCACGGUUGGGCUAACUUUCAACUGCCAGCUUUGGCCUCUCACAGCCUUGGUACCUCCAACCCCUGCAUUGGGAGGCCCCAGAAAAGCCUAGAAUGACCAUCUCCCAGAAGCAGCCCUCAGCUGAAGAUCAUCAUGAGUUGACAUAUAAACAUCUCAGCUUACCCCUUAUGUAGGUUUGGGAGUGGAUGGUUCCAGAUCCUGUGUUUUGCGUUGUUUCUCAGUUUCCUCACAGGAUGCAGCCCUAGUGCCCACUUUGGCAGUGGGCUUAGAACAGCCCUUCCCUGGCUGCCUUCCCUUCUCUGGGUCAUUUCCCUGCUCUCCUGCUGGGGCUCCCCCCAUAGCCAGUACCUCUCAAAUAAACAAUUUGUGCUCAAAUCCGCUCAGGAACUGCUUCUUAGGGAACCAAACCGUGAUUAUGGAGAGGCAGAGCGUGGAUAUGUGGAG